rnacentral:rRNA from 1 species
GGCGAACCGGGGGAACUGAAACAUCUAAGUACCCCGAGGAAAAGAAAUCAACCGAGAUUCCCCCAGUAGCGGCGAGCGAACGGGGAGGAGCCCAGAGCCUGAAUCAGUAUGUGUGUUAGUGGAAGCGUCUGGAAAGGCGCGCGAUACAGGGUGACAGCCCCGUACACAAAAAUGCACAUAUUGUGAGCUCGAUGAGUAGGGCGGGACACGUGGUAUCCUGUCUGAAUAUGGGGGGACCAUCCUCCAAGGCUAAAUACUCCUGACUGACCGAUAGUGAACCAGUACCGUGAGGGAAAGGCGAAAAGAACCCCGGCGAGGGGAGUGAAAAAGAACCUGAAACCGUGUACGUACAAGCAGUGGGAGCCUCUUAAUGGGGUGACUGCGUACCUUUUGUAUAAUGGGUCAGCGACUU